rnacentral:rRNA from 1 species
GAUGAACGCUGGCGGCGUGCCUAAUACAUGCAAGUCGAGCGAACGGACGAGAAGCUUGCUUCUCUGAUGUUAGCGGCGGACGGGUGAGUAACACGUGGAUAACCUACCUAUAAGACUGGGAUAACUUCGGGAAACCGGAGCUAAUACCGGAUAAUAUUUUGAACCGCAUGGUUCAAAAGUAAAAGAAGGUCUUGCUGUCACUUAUAGAUGGAUCCGCGCUGCAUUAGCUAGUUGGUAAGGUAACGGCUUACCAAGGCAACGAUGCAUAGCCGACCUGAGAGGGUGAUCGGCCACACUGGAACUGAGACACGGUCCAGACUCCUACGGGAGGCAGCAGUAGGGAAUCUUCCGCAAUGGGCGAAAGCCUGACGGAGCAACGCCGCGUGAGUGAUGAAGGUCUUCGGAUCGUAAAACUCUGUUAUUAGGGAAGAACAUAUGUGUAAGUAACUGUGCACAUCUUGACGGUACCUAAUCAGAAAGCCACGGCUAACUACGUG